rnacentral:rRNA from 1 species
AGAGUUUGAUCCUGGCUCAGAGCGAACGCUGGCGGCAGGCUUAACACAUGCAAGUCGAGCGGGCGUAGCAAUACGUCAGCGGCAGACGGGUGAGUAGCGCGUGGGAACGUACCUUUUGGUUCGGAACAACACAGGGAAACUUGUGCUAAUACCGGAUAAGCCCUUACGGGGAAAGAUUUAUCGCCGAAAGAUCGGCCCGCGUCUGAUUAGCUAGUUGGUGAGGUAAUGGCUCACCAAGGCGACGAUCAGUAGCUGGUCUGAGAGGAUGAUCAGCCACAUUGGGACUGAGACACGGCCCAAACUCCUACGGGAGGCAGCAGUGGGGAAUAUUGGACAAUGGGCGCAAGCCUGAUCCAGCCAUGCCGCGUGAGUGAUGAAGGCCCUAGGGUUGUAAAGCUCUUUUGUGCGGGAAGAUAAUGACGGUACCGCAAGAAUAAGCCCCGGCUAACUUCGUGCCAGCAGCCGCGGUAAUACGAAGGGGGCUAGCGUUGCUCGGAAUCACUGGGCGUAAAGGGUGCGUAGGCGGGUCUUUAAGUCAGGGGUGAAAUCCUGGAGCUCAACUCCAGAACUGCCUUUGAUACUGAGGAUCUUGAGUUCGGGAGAGGUGAGUGGAACUGCGAGUGUAGAGGUGAAAUUCGUAGAUAUUCGCAAGAACACCAGUGGCGAAGGCGGCUCACUGGCCCGAUACUGACGCUGAGGCACGAAAGCGUGGGGAGCAAACAGGAUUAGAUACCCCGGUAGUCC